GUGCCUGCCAGCGGGCCUGUGGCUUGUUAAGGGGAUAAACUUGUGAUGACUACUGACAUAAACCUGACAUCAAAGUUGCCAGAUGUAAUGUUCAUGACAAAUAAUGUCCUUUGUAAUGUGUUUAUAAAUGUAGGUUUUUGCCAGUUGUAAUGAAGGGCUUAUGUAGGUAUUAUGCAGCUUUAUGAACGCUGUUCUACAUUAAAGUGUCACCAAAUUAGCUUAUCUAAACAUACUCAGCCAGGUCCUCUGUAUUAGUGAGACGUCAGCCCUGUUCACUGUUCAUACACAGUGUGAGAGGCUGCUGUUUCCAGUUGCUGCAGACUGGCUACCACAUCCUUUCCUAGUUUGGACACUCAGGCACAAACACGCUGCACCCGUCAUCAUUUAAACGUGUCUGAUUUGUGUGGCUAAAUGGAGGUGAUGAAGCAUCCUUUAGCAUGUACAGGCACUGAGCCCAGUCGGUGCAGUAUACAUGAAAAAUUAUGAAGGGUAUUAAUGAAUUCAUAACACAACACAGCAUAUUAAGAGCAUGCUAAUGGACAUCUGAUCCGCACUCCAGUGACUAUUUUUAAUAUGCCUAUCUGCUCUAUUUGUUCCUUUCAGCUUCCGUCUCUGCCUCUUUUUUCCUCUAUAUCAGUCUUGCUCAAUCCUAAAGAAAGGGAGAAUGAAAAAAGUGGAAUUUUGCUGCUAAUGUAACUCGUUUUUUUUGUUUUUUUUUUAGAAAUGUGCUACUAAGAAUGAGUCAGUGAAGCUAUUUCAAUGUCUUCUCUCUCUUCUUUGUGUUAUUUCUCUCUAUUUAUCUGUCUGGUCCUUUCUCAUUCCUCACCCUCUCUCUCUCUUUUUCUCUCCCUCCCUCUCUCUCUCUCUCUCUCUCCCUCUUUUUCUCUCUCUCUCCCACUUUCUCUCUCUCUCCCUCAUUCUCUCUCCCACUCUCUCUCUCCAUCUUUCUCUCUCUCUCUCUCCCUGUUUCUCCAGUUUCUUAUUCUCUAUCCCCUUGUCAUUCUCUCUUUCAGUUUCUCUUUCUCUCUCCUUCCACCUCACUUCCUCUCCUUAUCUCUCUCCCUCUUUCUCUCUCUCUCUCCCUCAUUCUCUCUCCCACUCUCUCUCCCUUUCUCUCUCUCUCUCUCUCUCUCUCUCUCUCUCUCUCUCCCUGUUUCUCCAGUUUCUUAUUCUCUAUCCCCUUGUCAUUCUCUCUUUCAGUUUCUCUUUCUCUCUCCUUCCACUUCACUUCCUCUCCUUAUCUCUCUCCCUCUUUCUCUCUCUCUCUCCCUCUUUUUCUCUCUCCUGCUUUCUCUCUCUCUCCCUCAUUCUCUCUCCCACUCUCUCUCCCUUUCUCUCUCUCUCUCUCUCUCUCUCUCUCACUUCUUAUUCUCUAUCCCCUUGUCAUUCUCUCUUUCAGUUUCUCUUUCUCUCUCCUUCUGUCUCACUUCCUCUCCUUAUCUCUCUUUCUCUGACAGCCCUCAUCCCUCCCUCUCUCUCUCUCCCUCUUUUUCUCCAGUUUCUCGCUCACUUUCUUCUUUCUGUUUCUUAUUCUUUUUUCUCUCUAUCCCCUCAUCAUUCUAUUUCUCUGUUUCAGUUCUCUCUUUCUCUCUCCUUCUGUCUCACUUCCCCUCCUUAUCUCGCUCUUUUUCUCUGACAGCCCUCAUCCCUCUCUCUGUUUCUUCAGUUUCUCUCUCCCACUUCUUUCUUUGUUUCUUAUUCUUUCUUUUUCUCUAUCCCCUUGUCAUUCUCUCCAUUUCCCUGUUUCUCUCUCAACCUCUUUUGUGUCUUUUCUCUAUUCAUCUCCCCCUCUUUCUCUUUUUCUCACUUUCUCUCCAUCUCUGUCUUUCUCUCUUUUUCUACAUAUCUCUUUCUCACUUUCUCUCCUCCCUACUUUUUUUCUCUCCUUCCCUCUCUCUUUCUCCUUCUCUCAGUUUCUCUUUUCUCUCUCCCUCUUUCUCUUUUCCAAUUUCUUUGUCCCUCUCUCAUUUUUUUCUCACUCUCUUGCUCCUCCCUCUCUCUUUGUCUUUUUCUCUUUCCUUCUCUACUUAUCUCUCCCUCACUCUCCUUCUCUUCCUUCUCUCUCUGUCCUCCCUCUCUCUCUGUCUAUCUCUCUCACUCUCACUUCCCUUUUUCAAUAUAUCUUUCUCUCUCUUCCUCUACCUAUCUCUCCCUCAAUCUCUCUCCUUCUCCUCUCUCUCUCUCUCUCUCUCUCUAUCCUCCCUCUCUCUGUCUCUAUCACUCUCUCCCCUUCUCCUCCUUUCUCUCUCUCUCUGUGAUGUAGAUACAUGCCACUAUUUCGCAUGCAGUGAAAGUCACAAGACCCCUCCCCUCCCCUCUCC
ensembl:lncRNA